GUAUUUACCUGGCAGGGGAAAUACCAUGACCACCAAGGUGGUUUUCCUACUGGCUGAGGAAAACCACAAACGUGGCAGGGGUAACACGUAGUUAGCCUCCAAUGUUUACUUCCAGUGGGAAGAUCUCAGCUAUAUGCUGACUUUAUGGAAAUGGGAGACUGCUCCCUAGCUUGCUCCUG
rnacentral:snRNA from 14 species